CUGCUGCACACACAACCGACCCUGUCUUGCGUCGCAUUUCUGUCACGCGUGGGGGUUAUCUGCGAACCUUAUAUCGGUUUCAGACUCCUCUGGCUGCUCUUCCGCACGCACGAGCGCACUUGUACGCUGCACACGCAUCGAGACGCGUGCGUGCGCCACGCACUUUACCUCCUUGUCCUUCACUCCUUGCGAGCAAGCGGUGACGCUUGCCAUCGCCAACUGAGUAGCGGAGCUGCAUUUCUCAACCUGAAGGCGUCCAUGGGCACAGCGACACCAGCCACAACCACUGAAACCAUGAUGAUCCUCAAGCGCCCCCCGCAUCAUUUCUACCUGUGGCGGGUGCCCGACUACCUCGCGAUCGUCAUCAUCGCUGUUGUGGCCGCUGUGGUAGGAACCAAGGCCCAACCCCAUUGCCGCGACGUCGACUGGAGUGACCCCGCCAUUGGCCACCCCUUCGCGACGAAGGAGGUGUUCCCGACGUAUUCCUUGGUGAUCGCCUCCUUUGUUGUGAUGAUCUACUUCGCUGGUGAGCUGCUCACACGCUGGAGCCGCCCUGCUGGGAAGCUGAACAUGUGGCUCCAUGUCAAUGGCUGGGUGCUGACGCAGACGUGGAGCAUUACGCUGACCUUUGCGGUGGUGAGCCUCUCAAAACUGUAUGCUGGCCGCCUGCGUCCCGACUUCCUUUCCCGGCUCGCGAGCGAGGGCAUUACAGAGACCAGCUGGGCGACGAUGACGCACGACUCCCAGUGCCGCGCCGCGCGCGAGGGCCGCCUUUCCUUUCCCUCUGGCCACAGCAGCACGGCCUUCUCGGGGUACGUUCCACCGUGCAUGUAUCUCAUGGGUCUCUUCCGCACUCUCAGGGGGGGCCGACUUUGGCUUGUCACGCUCUUGCUGCUUCCGUUGAUCUUGCCCAUCACCAUCGCCAUCUCCCGAACGACCGACUACCGCCACAAUUUCGACGACAUCCUCGCCGGUUCCAUCUGUGGCUCGGCGCUCGGCGUGCUGUCUGUGGUGAUCAGCUUCCGGCCAUCGAUGCGCGGCGAGUGGACGCUUUACGAUCACCCGGACGACAACGUGGAGACUCAGGCUCUGCUGAUGCGCCCGGUCACGGAAGGCGGCGAGGCGGUGAACGAGAGUGAAUCGAUGGCGGCGGGCUACGACUCUCCCUCCCCCCCUUUGCGUGCACACUCUUCUCUCUGUUGUGAUCGGCGCGAGCUGACAGGCAUUGCAGCGCCAUCGCCGCGAAACAAGCAUGCCUCCGGCGCUAGUGCUUUAUCGGACGAUGAGGCGCACUCUUGCCGCAGCUUCGCAUCUGGCGUUCAGCCGUCGGAGGUGAACGUGCCACCGCUGACGAGCGCGCACAGUUAGUUCGGCGAACAGGAUUUCGGGUUCAGCCGUGAGAGGCUUUCCACCGCUGCCGCCAACGAGUUGCCUCCGCUGAACAAUCGCCCCAGUCCCUCGCGGCGCCGCAAAUCGGCGGGAGAAAACCCCGUCGUGGUGCCCGUGUCGCCCAACGGCACGGACUAUGGCGAAAGACUCGAGAGGAAGCAGUAGGCGUUGCUCCGCUCCUUCCUUCGGUGUCGGGGUGAAGGGCACAAGCGUAGUUCCUGCGGGAAAGGAAUGAUACACACACCCAAGCACUCGCCAACAGAAACCGCCGAUCUUGCACGCACUCACGGUCGUUUUCGCGUGUUCUCUGUAUCCCCCUCCCCUAAAGCUGUGCCGUGCCUUAUGUUCGCCGGGCACGGAAACAAUCCCCUUCCAUCUCUCCCCCCUUUUCCACGCGCGCUUCGUUUAGCUUCUCCGCCUCUUUUCGCUCUCCCUCUCUCCAUUGAUGUUUCUCACCUCGUUACAUCAUUGAGAUGUGUUGCUUCCUUCCGCCACCACCCUCCGCCCGCCUCCGACGACAUAUGUGCUGUCUGAGCGUUUUUCUUGACGCGCUCACUUCUUCGUGCUCCCAAACGCCCUUCACGUGCGUAUGCCAUGUCCGUGACUGCUUCUGACGACACGCUGCGCUAGUCUCCAUCGAGCUCUCCAAGCGAAAACGGACGACACGAAAAGCAACAGGAGGAAGAGUCACCGUUCAGCACGACGGGACGGACGGCAUGCUUUCCUGGGAAUGCACUUGUGCGCGUGCGUUGCGUGUUGUGUGGCCGGGCCGGGGGAGGGGAGGCGCCCCGCCCAACCCCAGAGAUCGCCUCCCCCCUCUCCCCGGCGUCACCAAAGGCUGCACUCACUACGGGCACCUCUACUUUCCCUUCUUUUUUUUUUGUAUUUGCUUCGCGGCCUUGCUUUUUUUUUUGUGGGUUUCGCUAGUUCGUUGCCUAUCCGCUUGUCUCUCGAUCUCCUCCGUCCACCCUUUACCCUUGUGUGUAAGCAUAUCGCUCUGGACCGUUUUCGCGCUGGCCUAUUCCUUCUCGUGGACGAGGAGGGGUGGCGAAAGGGACCGAUACCCCCCAUGCUCCUGUGGCGCUGCCUUCGUCUGCGGUUAGGUGACUCUGUCUCUCUCUCUCUCUGACUCCUCCCACUCUGUUGUGAUCAUUAUAAUCAUGUCUUUCCCUGAUUUCUGUUCAUGUGAGCCGGGCCUGUCGACGUCCUAUAGACCCGUGUAACUAUAUAGGCCUGCCUCUCGGAGCGCAGAUGUUGCUUGUAUACAUACUGCACUCGUGCGCUCUCCUUCAGUUUCGUUUUCUCUCUCCACACUCUGCGUCGGUCUCCGCCCGUUCCUUCGUUACCGUGUCUCCUCUCGUGCGCAUUAAUGCACGUGAGCGUGUCUGUGUCUCUUCAUCUGUGCGACGCUGGCGUUUGUGUGUUGAUGCUUCGCCCGCGCUUUCCCCUUUUCUGAUAUAAACUGUUUUGUCUUCAGGAGAACCGCGCGGGGGACACUAACAGCAGCACACGUGUUGCACGUGCAUGCGCGAAGAGGGACCUUUACGUGCGGCAUUACACAGCGGAAGAACACAGCACAG
rnacentral:misc_RNA from 1 species